UACGUAGGGCGCAAGCGUUGUCCGGAAUUAUUGGGCGUAAAGAGCUCGUAGGCGGUUUGUCGCGUCUGGUGUGAAAACCUCAGGCUCAACCUGGGGCGUGCAUCGGGUACGGGCAGACUAGAGUGCGGUAGGGGAGACUGGAAUUCCUGGUGUAGCGGUGGAAUGCGCAGAUAUCAGGAGGAACACCGGUGGCGAAGGCGGGUCUCUGGGCCGUAACUGACGCUGAGGAGCGAAAGCGUGGGGAGCGAACAGG
rnacentral:rRNA from 1 species